GAAAAGGCUGAUGAUUACGUGGUGGCGACUGAGGAGUCGCAUACGGUGGCGGAGUUCUUGGAGGUGGCAUUUGGAUAUGUGGGUCUGAAUUGGAAGGAUCAUGUGGUGAUUGACAAAAGGUAUUUUAGGCCAGCGGAGGUGGAUAAUUUGAAAGGGGAUUCAAGCAAGGCAAAGUGCUUGGAUGGAAACCAAAGGUGGGGUUUGAGCAGCUGGUGAAAAUGAUGGUAGAUGAAGACAUUGAACUUGCUAAGAGGGAGAAGGUGCUGGUGGAUGCUGGUUAUAUGGAUUCCCAGCAACAGCCUUAAUGAGAUACAGCUUGUAUGUUGGGUGGUGCUUCUACUGAUUCAGAUCACAUAGCAAUUUGAGUUUACUGGGAUGAAAUGUCAGCAUAACUUUGAACCAUUUAGAUAACUUCGUUUUGUUUUAAGGGAGGAUAACUUAUAUUUUUAUAAGUUUUUUUUUUUUUAAAAAAAAAAAAA
rnacentral:misc_RNA from 1 species